AGAGGGCGCCAAAGGCGACGCGCUGGCGGCCAGCUCCAAGCCAACCAGGCCCAUUGCGUCCGUCUGCAGGAACCUGUCCCUUCACCCUGCUUUGGACACUGAGCUUCGGAGGAUCUGGCUGCGAGCUGAUUCAACGCCAGGGCGCCGCCUAGAGGUCGGUCGCGUCCUCGGUCUCGCUCACCGACCACAGAGCUGCUUGUCCAAGCCACAGUGUCAGACUUAAACAAAACAAAACAAAAUUCCUGCUUGGAUCAGAGACUUGGCUUCUGGGACCGUUGACUUAUCAGAAACUUGCCUCCUCUCUGCUUCAUAACGAACCCCAGGAAGAGAGAGGGACCAGGGAUCUCAAAGAAAUAUUUGUCCUUGUGGCACCGACUAGGUGGAAGAAAAGUCUCAACAUGACAAGAGGGGAUAUAAACUGUUUGAAGUUCAUCAGCACGGUGAAGUUUUAUUGUAUUUCCGGUCCCUAAAAGAGAAGCCGGCAGCCAGGCAGACUCCCUCCUUAUCUCCGAGUUUCCACGCCAGGGACACACACGUGGCCAAGCGGACACUUGCCUUCGGGAGCAGGGAGGGAGAGAGCCCGCUCCGAUCGACUCUCCCUCACCGGCUCAGUUCUACUUGGCUCCACUCUCCUGUCUACUCCCCUGUCUCAAGGCUGGGGUUGCCUUAGAGUUGGAUAUCUGAGAGCUGCCUGGGAGUCUGGGUAACCCUGGAGCCCAGGGCCUGGCCAGAUGGUGAGUGUGUGCGAAUCUCCCUA
ensembl:lincRNA Gm53 predicted gene 53